rnacentral:rRNA from 1 species
AGCUCCAAUAGCGUAUAUUAAAGUUGUUGCAGUUAAAAAGCUCGUAGUUGGAUCUGUGGCGUACGGCGAGCUCCCGUCACUACCGGUGUCGGUGUGGUUUGUCGUUGCCAUCCUUGGGUGGAAGCUGUGUGGCAUUAGGUUGUCGUGCAGGGGAUGCCCAUCGUUUACUGUGAAAAAAUUAGAGUGUUCAAAGCAGGCUUAUGCCGUGAAUAUGCUAGCAUGGAAUAAUAAGAUAGGACCUCGGUACUAUUUUGUUGGUUUGCGCACCGAGGUAAUGGUUAAUAGGAACAGUUGGGGGUAUUCGUAUUUCAUUGUCAGAGGUGAAAUUCUUGGAUUUUUGAAAGACGAACUACUGCGAAAGCAUUUACCAAGGAUGUUUUCAUUAAUCAAGAACGAAAGU